rnacentral:rRNA from 1 species
GAUCAUGGCUCAGGAUGAACGCUAGCGACAGGCUUAACACAUGCAAGUCGAGGGGCAGCGGGGUGUAGCAAUACACCGCCGGCGACCGGCGCACGGGUGAGUAACGCGUAUGCAACUUGCCUAUCAGAGGGGGAUAACCCGGCGAAAGUCGGACUAAUACCGCACGAAGCAGGGAUCCCGCAUGGGAAUAUUUGCUAAAGAUUCAUCGCUGAUAGAUAGGCAUGCGUUCCAUUAGG